GGGAAUCACAUAUAUUGUGGCUCUAUUCUAUACUCUUUUAUAAUACGUCUUGAUAUUGAAAAGUACCCUGCUCUCCCCCACAAUUAAUUAAACAAAAAAUAGAUUAUCAUAAGGUUAUAUUAUGGUAUACAAAUAAAUUUUAAGUUUCUGUAUAGACUCAUGGUGGUGUCAUCAAUAUGGAUUUUAGCUUGUAGAGUUUAGAAUGAAAUAUACCAUUGGUUGGGAACUGAUACUAUUCUGAGCAAUGUUGGAUGGACUCAUUUUGUAGCAUUUGGUGAUUUUCUAAAGCAUAGCAGGUUAAAGAAAGUGAGACAACUUAUUUGGUGUGCAACUACAUUAUGUUAUUUUUAGAGGAGCUUCAAUUAAUCUAUGCAAUCUGUUGGCAAAUAUAUCAAGCUUUAUUCUUGGUUUUGGUUCAUUAGUAGGAGCGGAAAAAACUUAUGUCAUGCUUUUUUCGAUUGGUGUACUAAUCAUUUAGCUUAUUUAGAAAAUCUAUAAAUCUCUAUUGUAAGGGUUGAAUUAUCCCUAAUACUCCCUUAUAUCUAUAUACAGCUAUUGAUUAUAAAAAAAAAAAAAAAAUGAUGUUGGUAUGUAUACAACUAUUGUCAAGUUUUAUUUUGAUUCGAAAGAGUCGUUACUGCUUGUUGCCAUUUGUUGCAGUUUGUUGAUGCUGCUUGAACAUAUUUCCGUGUUGAUAGUCGGUUCAUUCAUCGGUUAAUUUAUACACCUCUAAUUGACACUCAUAAAUGUCCA
rnacentral:lncRNA from 1 species